AGAGUUUGAUCCUGGCUCAGAUUGAACGCUGGCGGCAUGCUUUACACAUGCAAGUCGAACGGCAGCACGAAAGAGCUUGCUCUUUUGGUGGCGAGUGGCGAACGGGUGAGUAAUGCAUCGGAACGUACCGAGUAAUGGGGGAUAACUAUCCGAAAGGAUAGCUAAUACCGCAUACGCUUUGAGAAGGAAAGUGGGGGCUCUUCGGACCUCACGUUAUUCGAGCGGCCGAUGUCUGAUUAGCUAGUUGGUGGGGUAAAGGCCUACCAAGGCGACGAUCAGUAGCGGGUCUGAGAGGAUGAUCCGCCACACUGGGACUGAGACACGGCCCAGACUCCUACGGGAGGCAGCAGUGGGGAAUAUUGCACAAUGGGCGCAAGCCUGAUGCAGCGACGCCGCGUGGGGGAUGACGGCCUUCGGGUUGUAAACUCCUUUCGUUAGGGACGAAGCCACACCUUUUUUGGGUGUGGUGACGGUACCUUUGUUAAGAAGCACCGGCUAACUACGUGCCAGCAGCCGCGGUAAUACGUAGGGUGCGAGCGUUAAUCGGAAUUACUGGGCGUAAAGCGAGCGCAGACGGUUUAUUAAGCAAGAUGUGAAAUCCCCGAGCUUAACUUGGGAACUGCGUUUUGAACUGGUAAGCUAGAGUAUGUCAGAGGGGGGUAGAAUUCCACGUGUAGCAGUGAAAUGCGUAGAGAUGUGGAGGAAUACCGAUGGCGAAGGCAGCCCCCUGGGAUAAUACUGACGUUCAUGCUCGAAAGCGUGGGUAGCAAACAGGAUUAGAUACCCUGGUAGUCCACGCCCUAAACGAUGUCAAUUAGCUGUUGGGGCACUUGAUGCCUUAGUAGCGAAGCUAACGCGUGAAAUUGACCGCCUGGGGAGUACGGUCGCAAGAUUAAAACUCAAAGGAAUUGACGGGGACC
rnacentral:rRNA from 1 species